AUUGAACGCUGGCGGCAGGCCUAACACAUGCAAGUCGAACGAGUGGCGGACGGGUGAGUAAUGUCUGGGAAACUGCCCGAUGGAGGGGGGUAACUACUGGAAACGGUAGCUAAUACCGCAUACCAUCGGAUGUGCCCAGAUGGGAUUAGCUUGUAGGUGAGGUAACGGCUCACCUAGGCGACGAUCCCUAGCUGGUCUGAGAGGAUGACCAGCCACACUGGAACUGAGACACGGUCCAGACUCCUACGGGAGGCAGCAGUGGGGAAUAUUGCACAAUGGGCGCAAGCCUGAUGCAGCCAUGCCGCGUGUAUGAAGAAGGCCUUCGGGUUGUAAAGUACUUUUGUGGAGAAAGCGGUACCCAAAGAAUAAGCACCGGCUAACUUCGUGCCAGCCGCCGCGGUAAUAC
rnacentral:rRNA from 1 species